rnacentral:rRNA from 1 species
CAGCCGUAAACUAUGCGCGUUAGGUGUAUCGGUGACCACGAGUCACCGAGGUGCCGAAGGGAAACCGUGAAACGUGCCGCCUGGGAAGUACGGUCGCAAGGCUGAAACUUAAAGGAAUUGGCGGGGGGAGGCACCACAACGGGUGGAGCCUGCGGUUUAAUUGGACUCAACGCCGGGAAGCUACACCGGAUAAGACAGCGGAAUGAUUGCCGGGCUGAAGACUCUGCAUGACUAGCUGAGAGGAGGUGCAUGGCGUAGACGUCU